AAUAGGCUAAUUAAGAGCGUAAGGGGAAUGCCUUGGCUCUCAGAGGCGAUGAAGGACGUGAUAAGCUGCGAUAAGCUGUGGGGAGUGGCACAAACACUUUGAUCCGCAGAUUUCCGAAUGGGGCAACCCGGCAUAUUGAAGAUAUGUCACACUGUAAAGUGAGCAAACCUGGUGAACUGAAACAUCUAAGUAACCAGAGGAAUAGAAAACAAAAGUGAUUCCGCUAGUAGUGGCGAGCGAACGUGGAACAGCCCAAACCUAUGUUGUUACGGCAACAUAGGGGCUGUAGGACCUCAACAUUUAAUGCUAAUAGAACUAGAAUUUACUGGAAAGUAAAAC
rnacentral:rRNA from 1 species